rnacentral:rRNA from 1 species
UAGUCUCAGAGCCGGGUGUUGGUUCCGGUAGAGAUCGAGGGAAGUUAGUACCGAAGUCUGAGAUGGAAGAUGGCGAGAAAAGCUGUGUGGAUUUCUGAGGUGCCCGUACCGCAAACCGACACAGGUAGGUAGGAAGAAGAUUCUAAGGCCAACGGGAGAAGGGUUGUUAAGGAACUCGACAAAUUGACCCCGUAACUUCGGGAGAAGGGGUGCUCCAGAGAUGGAGCCGCAGAGAAUCGGCCCAAGCAACUGUCUAUCAAAAACACAGGUUUGUGCUAAAUCGAAAGAUGACGUAUACGAGCUGACGCCUGCCCGGUGCUGGAAGGUUAAGAGGAGAUGUGCAAGCAUUGAAUCGAAGCCCCAGUGAACGGCGGCCGUAACGAUAACGGUCCUAAGGUAGCGAAAUUCCUUGUCAGGUAAGUUCUGACCCGCAUGAAAGGCGUAAUGAUUUGGGCACUGUCUCAACAGCCCGCCCGGCGAAAUUGUAGUACCGGUGAAGAUGCCGGUUACCCGCGACAAGACGGAAAGACCCCAUGGAGCUUUACUGUAGCCUAAUAUUGGGUUUCGAUGUUGCAUGCACAGGAUAGAUGGGACUCUGGGAAACCAGUGCUUUGGCGCUGGCGGAGAGGCCGUUGGGAUACCAUCCUUGCGAUAUUGGAAUUCUAACCUGCGGCUCUGAAUCGAGUCGGGGGACAUUGUUAGGUGGGCAGUUUGACUGGGGCGGUCGCCUCCUAAAAAGUAACGGAGGCGUUCAAAGGUUCGCUCAGCUUGAACGGAAAUCAAGCAAAAGAGUGCAAACGCAGAAGCGAGCCUAACUGCGAGGCUGACGGGUCGAGCAGUAACGAAAGUUGGAGUUAGUGAUCCGGUGGUAUGUGAGUGGAAAUGCCAUCGCUCAACGGAUAAAAGUUACCCUGGGGAUAACAGGCUGAUCUCCCCCAAGAGUCCACAUCGACGGGGAGGUUUGGCACCUCGAUGUCGGCUCAUCGCAUCCUGGGGCUGUAUUCGGUCCCAAGGGUUUGGCUGUUCGCCAAUUAAAGCGGUACGCGAGCUGGGUUCAGAACGUCGUGAGACAGUUCGGUCCCUAUCUGUCGUAGGCGCAGGAUAUUUGAUGGGAGCUGUCCCUAGUACGAGAGGACCGGGACGGACGUACCUCUGGCGCACCAGUUGUUCUGCCAAGAGCAUAGCUGGGCAACUACGUACGGAUCGGAUAAACGCUGAAAGCAUCUAAGCGUGAAGCCGACCCAAAGAUAAGAUAUCCCACUGUUUCAAACAGGUAAGAUCCCUUGAAGACUACAAGGUUGAUAGGCACGAUGUGUAAGUGGAGUGAUCCAUUCAGCAAGCGUGUACUAAUAGAUCGAGGGCUUGAC